rnacentral:rRNA from 1 species
AAGGUAUUUCCUGCCCUAUGGUUUUAUCUAAAUGGCUGCAGUAUUUUGACUGUGCAAAGGUAGCAUAGUAAUUAGUUUCUUAAUUAGGAACUUGUAUGAAUGGAUGAAUGAGAUAUAGUUUUUAUUUAUUUAAAAGUUAAAAUUUUAAUUUUAAGUAAAAAUGCUUAAGAUUUUUCUUGGGACGAUAAGACCCUAUAGAACUUAAUAUUUGCUUAAUAAAUUGUUUUUAAUUCUUUUAUAUGAUUUUUUAUUUAAAUGUUUUGCUGGGGUGGUUAAUAAAUUUUAACUUUAUUUUUUUAUUUCAUUGUUAGUUGUUUUUAUUGAUCCUAAUGGAUUAAAAGAAUAAGUUACCUUAGGGAUAACAGCGUAAUUUUAGUGGGGAGUUCAUAUCUAUACUGAUUUUGCGACCUCGAUGUUGAAUUAAGAAAAAACUAAGAAGCAGAAUUCUUAGAUUUAAGUCUGUUCGA